CCCCUCUCAGGUUCACACCUGGAGAGUUUCCAAUACUCUACCAGUCUUGGCUACGGGAGGGAGACUCACAUAGCGGCAUACCCAUUCCAUUCCUAGCUUGGCCAGUGGCUAGCGAGUGGAAGGCAACCUGCUACAAGU